GGGAUGAUGGAGAUGAUGGUGAGGAGAGGAGAAAUGUGAUUAGCAAUGGACGUAGUAGUGAAGUGGUUGUGGAGGUUGAUGAAGAAGAGAGCGGAGCUGAUGAUGAUGAUGGAGAUGUGAUGAGGAAUGGGCGCGGUGAAGGGGUUGAUGAAGAAGAGAGCGGAGCUGAUGAUGACGACAGAGAUGAGAGGCCUGAAGUGAUGGGCAAUGGGCACAGUGAAGGGGCUGAUGAAGAAGAGAGCGGAGCUGAUGAUGAGGGAGAAGAUGGUGAGGAGAGGCCAAAUGUGAUGAGAAAUGGGCGGAAUGAAGGGGUUGUGGAGGGUGAUGAAGAAGAGAGCGGAGCUGAUGACGACGACGGAGAUGAGAGGCCUGAAGUGAUGAGCAAUGGGCAUAGUGAAGGGGUUGAUGAGGAAGAGAGCGGAGCCGAUGAUGAUGAUGAUGGUGAGGAGAGGCCAAAUGUGAUGAGCAAUGGGCGGAAUGAAGAGGUUGUGGAGGGUGAU
rnacentral:lncRNA from 1 species